CCGUUACAACCGGCGAUACCCGAAUGGGGAAACCCAGUGUGUUUCGACACACUAUCAUGUCAUGAAUACAUAGUGGCAUGAGGCGAACCGGGGGAACUGAAACAUCUAAGUACCCCGAGGAAAAGAAAUCAACCGAGAUUCCCCCAGUAGCGGCGAGCGAACGGGGAGGAGCCCAGAACCUGAAUCGGCUUGUGUGUUAGUGGAAGCGUCUGGAAAGUCGCGCAGCAAAGGGUGAUAGCCCCGUACACUAAAAUGCACAGGUCGUGAGUUCGAUGAGUAGGGCGGGACACGUGACAUCCUGUCUGAAUAUGGGGGGACCAUCCUCCAAGGCUAAAUACUCCUGACUGACCGAUAGUGAACCAGUACCGUGAGGGAAAGGCGAAAAGAACCCCGGCGAGGGGAGUGAAAUAGAACCUGAAACCGUGUACGUACAAGCAGUGGGAGCACCUUCGUGGUGUGACUGCGUACCUUUUGUAUAAUGGGUCAGCGACUUAUAUUUUGUAGCAAGGUUAACCGUAUAGGGGAGCCGUAGGGAAACCGAGUCUUAACUGGGCGAUUAGUUGCAAGGUAUAGACCCGAAACCCGGUGAUCUAGCCAUGGGCAGGUUGAAGGUUGGGUAACACUAACUGGAGGACCGAACCGACUAAUGUUGAAAAAUUAGCGGAUGACUUGUGGCUGGGGGUGAAAGGCCAAUCAAACCGGGAGAUAGCUGGUUCUCCCCGAAAGCUAUUUAGGUAGCGCCUCGUGAACUCAUCUUCGGGGGUAGAGCACUGUUUCGGCUAGGGGGCCAUCCCGGCUUACCAAACCGAUGCAAACUCCGAAUACCGAAGAAUGUUAUCACGGGAGACACACGGCGGGUGCUAACGUCCGUCGUGAAGAGGGAAACAACCCAGACCGCCAGCUAAGGUCCCAAAGUCAUGGUUAAGUGGGAAACGAUGUGGGAAGGCACAGACAGCCAGGAUGUUGGCUUAGAAGCAGCCAUCAUUUAAAGAAAGCGUAAUAGCUCACUGGUCGAGUCGGCCUGCGCGGAAGAUGUAACGGGGCUAAACCAUGCACCGAAGCUGCGGCAGCGACGCUUAGGCGUUGUUGGGUAGGGGAGCGUUCUGUAAGCCGUUGAAGGUGGCCUGUGAGGGUUGCUGGAGGUAUCAGAAGUGCGAAUGCUGACAUAAGUAACGAUAAAGCGGGUGAAAAGCCCGCUCGCCGGAAGACCAAGGGUUCCUGUCCAACGUUAAUCGGGGCAGGGUGAGUCGACCCCUAAGGCGAGGCUGAAAAGCGUAGUCGAUGGGAAACAGGUUAAUAUUCCUGUACUUGGUGUUACUGCGAAGGGGGGACGGAGAAGGCUAGGCUGGCCGGGCGACGGUUGUCCCGGUUUAAGCGUGUAGGGGGUGUGACCUGGUAAAUCCGGUUGCAUACUAACCCUGAGGCGUGAUGACGAUGCACUACGGUGCAGAAGUAGUUGAUGCCCUGCUUCCAGGAAAAUCCUCUAAGCUCCAGGUAACAUUAAAUCGUACCCCAAACCGACACAGGUGGUCAGGUAGAGAAUACCAAGGCGCUUGAGAGAACUCGGGUGAAGGAACUAGGCAAAAUGGUGCCGUAACUUCGGGAGAAGGCACGCUGGCAUGUAGGUGAAGUCCCUUGCGGAUGGAGCUGAAGCCAGUCGAAGAUACCAGCUGGCUGCAACUGUUUAAUAAAAACACAGCACUGUGCAAACACGAAAGUGGACGUAUACGGUGUGACGCCUGCCCGGUGCUGGAAGGUUAAUUGAUGGGGUCAGCCGCAAGGCGAAGCUCUUGAUCGAAGCCCCAGUAAACGGCGGCCGUAACUAUAACGGUCCUAAGGUAGCGAAAUUCCUUGUCGGGUAAGUUCCGACCUGCACGAAUGGCGUAAUGAUGGCCAGGCUGUCUCCACCCGAGACUCAGUGAAAUUGAACUCGCUGUGAAGAUGCAGUGUACCCGCGGCAAGACGGAAAGACCCCGUGAACCUUUACUAUAGCUUGACACUGAACAUUGAGCCUUGAUGUGUAGGAUAGGUGGGAGGCUUUGAAGCGUGGACGCCAGUCUGCGUGGAGCCAUCCUUGAAAUACCACCCUU
rnacentral:rRNA from 1 species